CCUCCCUCUGUACCUAGACAGUGUAAACAGCCUGGUGUGACACAAAUUCUCUGGUCCUGAAUUUUUUUAAAGAAACACAUGUCGUCGUAUUUGACCCCACAUCAGUGGCUGACCGGAACCAAGUCAUAAUUCACAGUGAACAGAUCCAGCAGGUCGACUCGUAUAAAUAUCUGGGAGUACAUGUUGACAAUGACCUGAGAUGGAGAGUCCAUGUGGACUGUGUGCUAAGGUGCAACAACGACCUGAGCCCUAGGACCAUGCCUCAGGACUACCUGACAUGAUGACUCCUUGCUGUCCCCAGUCCACCUGGCCGUGCUGCUGCUCCAAUUUCAACUGUUCUGCCUUAAUAUUAUUGGACCAUGCUGGUCAUUUAUAAACAUUUGAACAUCUUGGCCAUGUUCUGUUAUAAUCUCCACCCGGCACAGCCAGAAGAGGACUGGCCACCCCACAUAGCCUGGUUCCUCUCUAGGUUUCUUCCUAGGUUUUGGCCUUUCUAGGGAGUUUUUCCUAGCCACCGUGCUUCUACACCUGCAUUGCUUGCUGUUUGGGGUUUUAGGCUGGGUUUCUGUACAGCACUUUGAGAUAUCAGCUGAUGGACGAAGGGCUAUAUAAAUAAAUUUGAUUUGAUUCUUC